AACAUCAGUGUUCGGUUGUCAAGCUUUUGCGCUGGUUGCAAUAGAGGAAUAUAAAUACAUAUAUUCGUCCUCCUAUCCGGAAUACAGCAGUGAUGGUAUCUGCGAAUGGAUGGUAUUCGUAACAGACCCCUGUUUGACAUUAAGUGAAGACACCAGCCAGGAACUACAGCUUGUCGUGGAGGAAUUUAAUUCCACAGGAUCGACAAAGCUCGACAUUUUCCAAGAUGAAUCCACAGAUAAAAAAACGAUUGAAAUUUCCCAGGAAUCGGCUUUGAUUGGACGUCCUCUUUACUUCACUGUAUCCAUGAAUAGAUUCGUUCUGAUUACCGUUCGUCAUUUCACCGAGAGUUCGACAUUCAAAAUGUCAUACAAAGUAA